rnacentral:rRNA from 1 species
UACAGAGGUCCCAAGCGUUGUUCGGAUUCAUUGGGCGUAAAGGGUGCGUAGGUGGCGCUGUAAGUCGGGUGUGAAAUUUCGGAGCUUAACUCCGAAGCUGCAUUCGAUACUGCGGUGCUUGAGGACUGGAGAGGAGACUGGAAUUCAUGGUGUAGCAGUGAAAUGCGUAGAGAUCAUGAGGAAGACCAGUGGCGAAGGCGGGUCUCUGGACAGUUCCUGACACUGAGGCACGGAAGGCCAGGGGAGCAAACGGG